rnacentral:rRNA from 1 species
ACGAACGCUGGCGGCACGCUUAACACAUGCAAGUCGAACGAGCGGGGAGAAGCUUGCUUUUCAAAGCUAGUGGCGGACGGGUGAGUAACACGUGAGCAAUCUGCCUUUCAGAGGGGGAUACCUGUUGGAAACGACAGUUAAUACCGCAUAAAAUAAUUUUACCGCAUGAUAAAAUUAUCAAAGAUUUAUCGCUGAAAGAUGAGCUCGCGUCUGAUUAGCUAGUUGGUAAGGUAACGGCCUACCAAGGCAACGAUCAGUAGCCGGACUGAGAGGUUGGACGGCCACAUUGGGACUGAGACACGGCCCAGACUCCUACGGGAGGCAGCAGUGGGGAAUAUUGCACAAUGGAGGAAACUCUGAUGCAGCGAUGCCGCGUGAGGGAAGAAGGUUUUAGGAUUGUAAACCUCUGUCUUAGGGGACGAUAAUGACGGUACCCUAGGAGGAAGCUCCGGCUAACUACGUGCCAGCAGCCGCGGUAAUACGUAGGGAGCGAGCGUUGUCCGGAAUUACUGGGUGUAAAGGGAGUGUAGGCGGGACUGCAAGUCAGAUGUGAGAACUAUGGGCUUAACCCAUAGACUGCAUUUGAAACUGCGGUUCUUGAGUGAAGUAGAGGUAAGCGGAAUUCCUAGUGUAGCGGUGAAAUGCGUAGAUAUUAGGAGGAACAUCAGUGGCGAAGGCGGCUUACUGGGCUUUAACUGACGCUGAGGCUCGAAAAGCGUGGGGAGCAAACAGGAUUAGAUACCCUGGUAGUCCACGCUGUAAACGAUGAUUACUAGGUGUGGGGGGACUGACCCCUUCCGUGCCGCAGUUAACACAAUAAGUAAUCCACCUGGGGAGUACGGCCGCAAGGCUGAAACUCAAAGGAAUUGACGGGGGCCCGCACAAGCAGUGGAGUAUGUGGAUUAAUUCGAAGCAACGCGAAGAACCUUACCAGGUCUUGACAUCGUAUGCAUAGCUCAGAGAUGAGUGAAAUCCCUUCGGGGACAUAUAGACAGGUGGUGCAUGGUUGUCGUCAGCUCGUGUCGUGAGAUGUUGGGUUAAGUCCCGCAACGAGCGCAACCCUUAUGUUUAGUUGCUACGCAAGAGCACUCUAGACAGACUGCCGUUGACAAAACGGAGGAAGGUGGGGAUGACGUCAAAUCAUCAUGCCCCUUAUGACCUGGGCCUCACACGUACUACAAUGGCUAUAAACAAAGUGAAGCAAGACAGUGAUGUGGAGCAAAACACAAAAAAUAGUCUUAGUUCGGAUUGUAGGCUGCAACCCGCCUACAUGAAGUCGGAAUUGCUAGUAAUCGCAGAUCAGCAUGCUGCGGUGAAUACGUUCCCGGGCCUUGUACACACCGCCCGUCACACCAUGGAAGUCGGUAACACCCGAAGCCAGUAGUCUAACCGUAAGGAGGACGCUGUCGAAGGUGGGAUUGAUGACUGGGGUGAA